rnacentral:tRNA from 1 species
GGAGAGAUGGCUGAGUGGUCGAAAGCACCGGUUUCGAAAACCGGCAUACUCAAAAGGUAUCGAGGGUUCGAAUCCCUCUCUCUCCG